rnacentral:rRNA from 1 species
GAUGAACGCCGGCAGUGUGCCUAAUACAUGCAAGUCGAACGCGUUGGCCCAACUGAUUGAACGUGCUUGCACGGACUUGACGUUGGUUUACCAGCGAGUGGCGGACGGGUGAGUAACACGUAGGUAACCUGCCCCAAAGCGGGGGAUAACAUUUGGAAACAGAUGCUAAUACCGCAUAACAAUUUGAAUCGCAUGAUUCAAAUUUAAAAGAUGGCUUCGGCUAUCACUUUGGGAUGGACCUGCGGCGCAUUAGCUUGUUGGUAGGGUAACGCUACCAAGGCUGUGAUGCGUAACCGAGUUGAGAGACUGAUCGGGCCACAAUGGAACUGAGACACGGGUCCAUACUCCUACGGGAGCAGCAGUAGGGAAUCUUCCACAAUGGGCGCAAGCCUGGAUGGAGCAACACCGCGUGAGUGAAGAAGGGUUUUCGGCCCGUAAAAGCUCUGUUGUUUAGAGAAAGAACGUAGCGUGAGA